GCGGCGGACGGGUGAGUAACACGUGGGCAACCUGCCCGCAAGACCGGGAUAACUCCGGGAAACCGGAGCUAAUACCGGAUAACACCGAAGACCGCAUGGUCUUCGGUUGAAAGGCGGCCUUUGGGCUGUCACUUGCGGAUGGGCCCGCGGCGCAUUAGCUAGUUGGUGAGGUAACGGCUCACCAAGGCGACGAUGCGUAGCCGGCCUGAGAGGGUGACCGGCCACACUGGGACUGAGACACGGCCCAGACUCCUACGGGAGGCAGCAGUAGGGAAUCUUCCGCAAUGGGCGAAAGCCUGACGGAGCGACGCCGCGUGAGCGAAGAAGGCCUUCGGGUCGUAAAGCUCUGUUGUGAGGGACGAAGGAGCGCCGUUCGAAGAAGGCGGCGCGGUGACGGUACCUCACGAGAAAGCCACGGCUAACUACGUGCCAGCAGCCGCGGUAAUAC
rnacentral:rRNA from 1 species